ACUGAUUAUUUUGUGACUGAGUGGCGGACGGGUGAGUAACGCGUGGGUAACCUGCCUUGUACAGGGGGAUAACAGUUGGAAACGGCUGCUAAUACCGCAUGACGUGUUCGGAUGGCAUCAUCUGAACAUCAAAGAUUUAUCGCUGAAAGAUGGGCUCGCGUCUGAUUAGAUAGUUGGUGGGGUAACGGCCCACCAAGGCGACGAUCAGUAGCCGACCUGAGAGGGUGAUCGGCCACAUUGGAACUGAGAGACGGUCCAAACUCC
rnacentral:rRNA from 1 species